rnacentral:rRNA from 1 species
GCUACAGGCUUAACACAUGCAAGUCGAGGGGCAUCAGGAAGAAAGCUUGCUUUCUUUGCUGGCGACCGGCGCACGGGUGAGUAACACGUAUCCAACCUGCCCUUUACUCGGGGAUAGCCUUUCGAAAGAAAGAUUAAUACCCGAUAGCAUAAUGAUUCCGCAUGGUUUCAUUAUUAAAGGAUUCCGGUAAAGGAUGGGGAUGCGUUCCAUUAGGUUGUUGGUGAGGUAACGGCCCACCAAGCCUUCGAUGGAUAGGGGUUCUGAGAGGAAGGUCCCCCACAUUGGAACUGAGACACGGUCCAAACUCCUACGGGAGGCAGCAGUGAGGAAUAUUGGUCAAUGGGCGCUAGCCUGAACCAGCCAAGUAGCGUGAAGGAUGAAGGCUCUAUGGGUCGUAAACUUCUUUUAUAUAAGAAUAAAGUGCAGUAUGUAUACUGUUUUGUAUGUAUUAUAUGAAUAAGGAUCGGCUAACUCCGUGCCAGCAGCCGCGGUAAUACGGAGGAUCCGAGCGUUAUCCGGAUUUAUUGGGUUUAAAGGGAGCGUAGGUGGACUGGUAAGUCAGUUGUGAAAGUUUGCGGCUCAACCGUAAAAUUGCAGUUGAUACUGUCAGUCUUGAGUACAGUAGAGGUGGGCGGAAUUCGUGGUGUAGCGGUGAAAUGCUUAGAUAUCACGAAGAACUCCGAUUGCGAAGGCAGCUCACUGGACUGCAACUGACACUGAUGCUCGAAAGUGUGGGUAUCAAACAGGAUUAGAUACCCUGGUAGUCCACACAGUAAACGAUGAAUACUCGCUGUUUGCGAUAUACAGUAAGCGGCCAAGCGAAAGCAUUAAGUAUUCCACCUGGGGAGUACGCCGGCAACGGUGAAACUCAAAGGAAUUGACGGGGGCCCGCACAAGCGGAGGAACAUGUGGUUUAAUUCGAUGAUACGCGAGGAACCUUACCCGGGCUUAAAUUGCAGUGGAAUGAUGUGGAAACAUGUCAGUGAGCAAUCACCGCUGUGAAGGUGCUGCAUGGUUGUCGUCAGCUCGUGCCGUGAGGUGUCGGCUUAAGUGCCAUAACGAGCGCAACCCUUAUCUUUAGUUACUAACAGGUUAUGCUGAGGACUCUAGAGAGACUGCCGUCGUAAGAUGUGAGGAAGGUGGGGAUGACGUCAAAUCAGCACGGCCCUUACGUCCGGGGCUACACACGUGUUACAAUGGGGGGUACAGAAGGCAGCUAGCGGGUGACCGUAUGCUAAUCCCAAAAUCCUCUCUCAGUUCGGAUCGAAGUCUGCAACCCGACUUCGUGAAGCUGGAUUCGCUAGUAAUCGCGCAUCAGCCACGGCGCGGUGAAUACGUUCCCGGGCCUUGUACACACCGCCCGUCAAGCCAUGGGAGCCGGGGGUACCUGAAGUACGUAACCGCAAGGAUCGUCCUAGGGUAAAACUGGUGACUGGGGCUAAAUCA